rnacentral:rRNA from 1 species
UCCGCCCGGGUACUACGAGCACAGCUUAAAACCCAAAGGACUUGGCGGUGUCUCAGACCCACCUAGAGGAGCCUGUUCUAGAACCGAUACCCCCCGUUGAACCUCACCACUUCUUGUUUUUCCCGCCUAUAUACCGCCGUCGUCAGCUUACCCUGUGAAGGUUUAAUAGUAAGCAAAAUGGGCCCACCCAAAAACGUCAGGCCGAGGUGUAGCGUAUGGAGUGGAAAGAAAUGGGCUACAUUUUCUACAAUUAGAAUAUUACGAAUAGUACAUUGAAAUUAUGCACUUGAAGGUGGAUUUAGUAGUAAAAA